rnacentral:rRNA from 1 species
UACAGAGGGGGGCAAGCGUUAUUCGGAAUUAUUGGGCGUAAAGGGCGCGUAGGCGGCCUGACAAGUGGAAGGUGAAAUCCCUCGGCUUAACCGAGGAACUGCCCUCCAAACUGUUUGGCUUGAGACCGGGAGAGGUGAGUGGAAUUCCCAGUGUAGCGGUGAAAUGCGUAGAUAUUGGGAGGAACACCAGUGGCGAAGGCGGCUCACUGGACCGGUACUGACGCUGAGGCGCGAAAGCGUGGGGAGCAAACGGGG